rnacentral:RNase_P_RNA from 1 species
GCAGUGGGACAUGUGGCCGCGCUUCAAGUCCAUCCCUCCAGAAGGCCUUGAAGUGAGGAAAGUCCGGACUCCAAAGGGCAGGAUGCCAGCUAACGGCUGGGCGGAGCGAUCCGACGGAAAGUGCCACAGAAAAGAAAACUCUCCCACCCCGUUUUGCGGAACAGGAGAAAAGCUGAAACGGUGCGGUAAGAGCGCACCAGCGCAUUGGCAACAAUGCGGCUUGGCAAACCCCAUCCGGAGCAACGGCAAAUAGGAGUGGCUAAGAUCGGCCCGAUCGACACUCGGGUUGCCCGCAAGAGGUCAGUGGCGACACUGUCCCCAGAUAAAUGGCCACACAAGACAGAAUCCGGCUUAUCGUCCCACUGCAGCC